UGUGUUGGUUUUUGUGGUUUACAAGGACUUUUGACCUGAAUACGCACCAGCAUUACAGGGACAUUUGGGUUUAUGAGGACAGGGCCCAUGUCCUUAUAAUUCCGACAGUGUAUAUGCCUUUCUCUAUGUCCCAGAAGCUCCCUCUCAAAUUUUCGCGCCAUGUCCUAAUAUACCACAAAACCCUGAAAUUUUACUAUACACUGUGUAUCCUCCGAACUCGGGAGUGCGCCCCUGCAGCCCGGACCCGGUACUGCAUCCGCGUCAUCGAAAAUUUGCAUAUUUUACACUUGUGUAAGUUUGGAGGCCGCUGAUUGGCUAGAUCGGCACCGGAGGGCGGGAAAUCGCGAAAACAAAAUGGCGGCGGUGGGCGGGGCUACAUUCUGCCGCUAAUAGCUCCGUACAACGAGGCAAGGGUGUCGGUUUGUAACUUCCUGUUUGGACCGGACGCAAUCUGUGCACCUGAAGUGAAGACAUCUGCGGUGUGAAGCUGUUGGAGACAACUAUUAUAUGAAAGCAGACACAGAGGAUGGCUGAAGGUGCGAGGCGAAGGAGAAAGCUGAGGCCAUACAGUGUUCACUUCAACAGAAAGACCAGAAUGGGCUCAAGGGCAGGUUCAUCACUGAUCUUAAAGGUGACUCUGAAGAAGGACCGGUUACUAUUGGAUGAUCAGGACUGUGUUGAGUAGAUGUCACCUGUCAAAGAGCAUGUGUUGAAUGAGGAGCAGAGCUUUUUUGUCCCCGCUGAAGGAGUUAAGGAGAUGAGAUCAACAUGACAGAUUCUGAUGACGCUGAUCCUGAAGAAAGUGAUUCUGAUGAUGAGGCUCUUGCUGGAGCUGCGGGAGACUCCAGUAAUGCUGGUGUUCAGAAGAUGCCCAUUGAGAGCACCACUGAAGUUCCUGAAGAGAGUGAGAGUGAGGCAGACACUGAAAACACACGGAGAGGGCAGAAAGUGUCCUGGUCAAACACUGAAGUUACAGCUGUAAUCAAACAUUUUAAGGACCACAGAGCUAAAGGAAAACUGGCCACAAUGACUGAAAACCAGCAGUGUAAAACUGCUGAGGAUCC